rnacentral:lncRNA from 10 species
GUGACUGAAGCCACAGGCAGCAUGAGGAGUCCAACUCAUGCCAUGGGCUUUGCCUGAAAAUGAUUGCCGACCUUCUCCAAGCUGCCAGCCAAGGAAUGGCAUCCCCUGUAACUUCGCGUCAAAGGUAACGUUGGACACGUGCCAAGACCUGGGGCAGAGGAAUGGAGUGGCAGAUUUGUCGCUUAUGACUGGAACCUGUUUUGAUCUCAUCAGUGUGGACACCUCCAGAAAGAUCCGACCAGCCAUGGACUCUAUAAGCAGCGUGGUUUGGUGCAGACACAAACAGUAGCACUGAAUCACAUGCUGCUCUUUUGAAGAGAUGAGCUCCUCCACUGGAAAUCAGGUGGUGAGCACCAGCAAAGGUUUCCCCUGGGAAUCACAGCCACCGGGGGCAGGUCGACGUACAAAGAUGAAGGUAGGUUUCCCUACAGGGGAAGCCUUGCGGGAAGACAGAGAGAAGCUGUGGGUAAGGAACUGCUGAUGGUUUUGUAGAUCUGUAAAUGGUACCUGGGAAUCAUUGGCGAGCCCUGAACUGGAACACAGAACUGAGAGAGUGCUGAUGCAGGACCCAGCGUCCCGACCCACCCUCCCUCCUUGAACUCAUGUGACCUUGGCAACUUCGUUUUCUCUUUCUCUGGGCAGGAGUUCAGCUGCAAGAUUGGAACCUUUAGGAACAUGGCUUAUGGUGUUAGGAGAACAUCCAUAAAGUGAUUAAAAGUACUCCCUGCACUGAAAUAUUUGUUACUGCCCACGCUGGCCUCCUCCCAUCAUGGUGCCUAAAAAUAGCCUUAAUAUUUGGCCUUUUAGAUCUCAAAGACUUUUAAUAUUUGGGAGUCCCCUAUUAAACUGUCAGGUCCAUGGAAAAGUCAUUUAGGCGAGUGUUUGGGAUAUUCACUGUAGACUGAGGAACAAUAGCUUGAGGUGGCAAAAGUGGAGACUUUAGCAGCGUGAGAAGGGGGAGAGCCCUAAGCUUCACACACUUACAACUGGCUGGUGUCCCCAGGGCAGUGGGGCUCCCUACAUUGUUGCUGAGAGUGUCUGAAAGAGGGCAGUGUGGCAUCUUAGAAAGAGACUGGGGAAAACAAAACCUGGGUUCUAAUCCUGGCUCUGCUGUAAGCUUCCUGUGGCACACGCACAAGUCCUUUCCCCUCUCUGGGCCUCAGUUUCCCUAUCUGUAAAAUGAAAGGAUUGGAACCAAGGGGUGAUGAGGUUGUGUCUGGCUCUCAAGAUUUUGAAAUGAACUGGUGAGCCAUGAUUGGCUAAUCCUGGAGCAGAGGGUAGGGAGACUCCCCAGUCAUCAGCCAAGACCCAACCCUUUUAGAGAAAGAAUCCAGGAUGGGGGUGAGUCCUGGAGCAGGAGGAGCCUGCUGCAAGACAGACAGGGAAGCAUUCCCCAGGCCAUCAACUCACUCUUCUUCCCAGACUUCCUCAAGUGGGUCUUGGUCUCCCUUGCCAGGAGCCCCAAACUCCCUGCUGCCAGAUGCCCUCACGGCCUUUGACCAGAUGUUUAGGCUCUGCCAAGUUUCCUUGGACAGUACCCUGGGUUGCCUCCAUACUAACUUAUCCCCACCUUAAAGGAUUCAUGGGAAAGAGUGUAGGACUUGGAGUCAGGGGCCUUGAGUUCUGGUCCCAGCUUGCUGAGUAAUCUUAGGCAAGCGAUUGCACUUCUCUGAACCCUAACUUGGCCCUUGGAUUCAGUGCCAGUUGCCGUUUCAGGACCCACCAUGGCCUCUAAGUUUUGAGGUAAUGAAAGGGAUAUCUACUAGCUGGUUCCUGGCUUCGCCAAGGGAAUGUCACUUCCAAACCAGACGUUGGUGAAGGUCCAGGAACGUAGGUCCUGAAGACGAGCCCUGUCCUCAGAGCCCGAGAUAGUUUCUAGCCCAUAGUCAGAGGCUUCUUCUGUUUUGUCCUACUAGGGAAAGGGGG